AAUAAAGCAAGCAAGUGAGUGAGCCAUCCUGGACUACUGAGAGCUUGUCUCAAAAAUAAACACACAAACAAACAGAAUAAGAGGUAUCAAGUGGGUGAGUUGGCUGGGGUGGAGCUUAGUGUUAGAGUACUUGACCAGUAUAUUUAAGACACGGGUGUUUGAUGUCUAGCACUGCAAAACAUGCAAGCUUUUGUUUGUUUGUUUGUUUUUUUGAGACUGGGUCUCUCUAUGUAGUUCUGGCUCUCCUGGAAUUCACUAUGUAAACUAGGCUGGCCUUGAACUCAGUUCAUUAGAUUUCUUACCAAAAUUAGGAUACUUAUUUUUUCAUUUAAAUAUAUUUUCUUUAUUUCUUUUUUUCUGUUUCCUCUCCCCAUCCAUGAGUGUGUGUGUUUGUGAGUGUGUGUGAGAGAGAGAGAGAGCAAGAGAGAGAGAGAGAGAGAGAGAGAGAGAGUGUGUGUGUGUGUGUGUGUGUGUGUGUGUGUGUGUGUGUGUGUGUGAGAGAGAGAGAGAGAGGUUCUCUCUGUAGCCUCCAAAGCAGCUCUGCUCUUGGCAUCAGUUACAGAUCUGUCCACCUGGCUUGUAGACUUUUUGUUGUUUUUAAAAAACAGAAACAGGGUCUCUUCUAGCCCAGCCUGGCUUGAACUUUAUGUAGCUGAGGCUGGCACUGGCCUUUUGGUCCUGUCCCUACUUCCCAAUGCUGAUACUGCUGUGUGCAUUGAGUAGUUCAUGUGCCAGGUGAGCACUUGACCUCUGAGUUACAGCCCAGCCCUGACAGUUUGAUUGAUUUAAAGACAAAACCAAAACCAUGCUGAAGUAUUAAAAACACUCAAGUUGUUCAAGAGAGGGAAAGAAGCCAGUCUAAAUACCUCCACUGAUGGUUUCUGGCCACCACUGACAGUUUGGCAGCAUCUUCACACGCCUGCCAGUGGAGGAUGUCUCUAACAAGGUGGUACUGGAAAGCUGCUCAGCUGACAACAGGCUCCUACAGCUGAUGAUGGAAAAGCCUUAACUACAUUCUUUUUAUUUUUGUUUUUUGUUUUCCUUUUUGAGACAGAGUCUCAUUAUUUAGGUCUGGUUGGUCCAUUACUUAACUCUGUAGCCCAGGCUAGCCUUGAACUUAGGACAAUCUUUACACCUAAGCUUCCUGAGUGCUGGGAUAACAGCAUACCUUAUCUUUUUGGUUAGAUGGCUUUUCAUCAAUUGUAAGAAGUGAACAGUUCUUUCAAGUACACAUGAAGACCGUUGCUGCUUUACAGCAUAGCAGUUUAGGAGAGAUCUUCCUUGUAUUGAGUUUUUUAAGACAGAGCUUUUGAAUUUCAGCCCAGUUAUGCCUCACUAGCCCUCUUCUGUUCUUGAGAGUGCUUUUCUCUUCUUUAAUAAGUUGUCUCUGUUUCUGUCAUUUAUGAAAUUCUCAGG
rnacentral:lncRNA from 1 species